ensembl:misc_RNA Y_RNA Y RNA
GGCUGGUCUGAGUGCAGUGGUGCUUACAACUAAUUGGUCACAACCAAUUACAGAUUUAUUUGUUCAUUUUCCACUCCUACUGCUUUAGUUGACUAGCCAAAA